UUCUUGUCGUUGCUAGCGCCGGCGUAAUAUUUCGGCAGAUAACUAGCAAUGCUGAGAAUUCUUAAAUCUAAUCUUCGCGUUACAGCUUGAUGGUGCGAGACACGAUGUGCUGAAGUAAACAUUAACAAAUGUAGGUCUGUAGUGGGUAGCCAGACGUGCUAAUACUCUACCGGUUAAUGACAAAGAUAACACCGUCCUACGUUUUGUUUCAAGAACCAAAUAUUUCGAUGAUUCUAUCUUAUCUAACGUCAAUUGGACUACACACAUUUCGCUAUUGAUAAACAAUGCUUAUAGUUGAUUAAGCUACCUGAAAGGCAGAUUUUUCUGUCCCCACCAUCAAUCUGAUUCACUACAAAACACUUUUUCGAUCUAAACUCGUAUACGCUCGUAUACUCGUAUACUCGUAUAUCAGUUUAGAUUCCUAGUGAGAAUAUUUCAUUUAUUAAGUAGAAGUGCUAGAAUAUAUUCCGUACAUAAUAUAUAUUUUCAAAUUUCAAGAACAAACUUAAAGGCAAUGAAAUUAAAUAUACUGUUAGAAUCUUUAGUGUCGCGCCAUGACUUCAUCUGUGUCGCCCUCUCUUUUUCAGAAUAUAUUUUGUAAUCCUGCACUGAGGAACAAGCAACUUUCACCAACCCAUUACGUAUAAUCUCGGCUUCAUCUCUACCAAGAAAAUGCCAUGCUAAGCGGAUUCUGUCGCACCCUGACGUCGGUCGAGGCGAAGUACGUCAACUGGGAUGACUAGCUAUCUCAGCCGUCGUCAUCAGAAAAGAGGUAUUGCUCUGGCAAUAUGUAAUCACCUGUGAGUUCAUCUCCGAGGGUAAACAAAGCUAUCCGAAGAAGUUACAUAAAGGGGGAGGAAGACAGAAGAGGAUCUCCCACCUCGUCGCCUUCCCCUGACCCCAUCUCGGGCAAAUAAUAAA